AUGGCUCUGUGGCGGCGCAGCUCGUCCUGGCUCACGUCCUGCUCGCGCGCGCCGGCCGGCAUCGGCGGCGGGAACGAGGCCAAGGUCUCGCCCGAGGUCGCCCCGGAGGACGCCGCCGCGGAGCACGAGGGCCGCCGCGCGGAGGCCGGGGACGAGGAGAGGUGGUCCCGCCUGCUGCCGGAGCUGCUCACGGACAUCGUGCGCCGCGUCGACGCCGGCGCCGAGCGCUGGCCCCCGCGCCGCGACGUCGUCGCCUGCGCCUGCGUCUGCCGCCGCUGGCGCGACGCCGCCGUCGCCGUCGUGCGCCCGCCGCUCGAGUGCGGCAGGAUCACCUUCCCUUCCUCGCUCAAGCAGCCUGGACCGAGGGAUGCGCCGAUGCACUGCUUCAUCAGGAGGAACAAAAGCACCUCCACCUUUUAUCUUUAUCUCAGCUUAACACAGGCCCUAACGGAUAAAGGGAAGUUUCUACUGGCUGCUCGAAGAUUCAGACACGGGGCACACACCGAAUAUAUCAUCUCUUAUGACUCUGAUGAUCUAUAUCCAGGAAGUAAUUCAGGUGUUGGAAAGCUGAGAUCGGACUUCCUGGGGACAAAGUUCGUCAUGUACGACAACCAGAAACCAUACGACGGCGCCAAGUCCUUGAAGAGCCGAUCAAGUCGCCGUUUUGCAACCAAACAAAUCAGCCCACACGUUUCAGGCGACAAUCUUGAAGUUGGACAGGUGUCAUACAGGUUCAACUUCCUCAAAUCAAGAGGGCCAAGAAGAAUGCACUGCAGUAUCCAGUGCCCCGUAGGCCAGGGCACCGCAUCCGAUCCAUCCAAGGAGAAGCCACCGAGCACCUCCAGCUCCUUGUCUCUAAAAAACAAAGCGCCUCGAUGGCACGACCACCUGCAGUGCUGGUGCUUGAAUUUCCACGGCAGGGUGACCGUCGCCUCCGUGAAGAACUUCCAGCUCGUCGCCCCGGCCGACACCAGCGAUCCAUGGGGCGUCGGGGACGAGGAGACGGUGAUCCUCCAGUUCGGUAAGAUCGAGGACGACGCGUUCACGAUGGACUUCCGGCAUCCCCUGUCGGCCUACCAGGCGUUCGCCAUCUGCCUCACCAGCUUUGGCACGAAGCUGGCCUGUGAAUAA
rnacentral:rRNA from 1 species